AGAUUGGAAGCAUAUACAAAAUUGACAUAAAUUGCAGGAGUGUGAAGGUUUACAUGCUGCAAAUAAAUUGCGCAAAGCACAUUGCUUUCCACAAAUAAAAAAUGAAAUUCAAGUUUUUAGUGCAUCUGUUGCAAAUAGCCUUAUUUUUGCCCAUCAUCAGAAGAUUCCUGGAUUUGAAAAUUGUGAUGGUACAAUUAAUUUUAUAUUGAUGAUAGAUCAAAUGUUUGAUUAUCUUAAUACAAGAAAUUGUCUUGGUAAAGGAUAUGAAGCCCCUUUAUAUACUAAUACUAUGGCAGAAUAUGAAACUCAUUUUGACAAGUGCAUUAAAACUUUAAAAUCACUCAAGUUAACAAAUGGAGUUUAUGUCUAUAAAUCUAAUAAAAAAACAUGUGUUGAAGGGCUAAUUCUUUCUAUGACAAGCAUCCUGGAAAUGGGGAAGGAGUUAUUAAUUGGAGAAACCCCAAAAAUGAAGUUCUUUUUAACGUACAAAACCUCUCCAGACCACUUAGAAUUAUAUUUUUGUAGUAUUCAUAGCAGGAGUGGAUUUAAUGAUAAAUCAGCAUAUCAGGUUCGAUCCGCUGUUCGCAUUUCAUUAAUGGCAAAACUGGAUGCAACAAUUACAGGAAAUUGCAUUUCCUUAGACAAUAAACAUUUAAUAUGUUCAAAAUUUCAAAAUAAUCAUGAUGAUGAAUAUAUCUAUCAAAACUAUUUCAAAUCCUAUAAUACCCACCACAUUAUCUUAUUAUUUUGGCCUAACAAAUCCCCAUAUCCCAAAAUUAUCAUUAUAUUUAGAUAAUGUAUCAACUUAUAUUUCGGGAUAUAUAG